rnacentral:rRNA from 1 species
GACGUAGGAUGCAAGCGUUGUCCGGAUUUAUUGGGCGUAAAGAGUUCGUAGGUGGUUUGUUAAGUCUGAUGUUAAAGACUGGGGCUCAACCUCGGAAAUGCAUUGGAUACUGGCAGACUUGAGUGUGGUAGAGGCAAUCGGAAUUCCAGGUGUAGCGGUGAAAUGCGUAGAUAUCUGGAAGAACACCGGUGGCGCAAGCGGAUUGCUGGGCCAUAACUGACACUGAGGAACGAAAGCGUGGGGAGCAAACAGG